UCCCCUUCUCCAAUUCAGAGCCUCACCGCUCGGUUUUCCUUGGUAUUCGGUAGCGCGCAAGGUCCCCGCCUCACUUACCGCUUCGUCUCGCUCGAGGAAAAGGAACAGGCGCUGGAGAGGAGAAGCGGCGCGACUCAGAAGAUGGCGGCGCAGGUCACUUGGUGGGUGGAUGGAUCCCCAUCAGCGACCCGAUUCAGGGAUUAUCUUGAGGAAGGAUUGGCUAUUGAUGUUGAAUGAGAAGAACGGUGCUUGAUUGGUGCCUUUUGGAUAUUAUGUAUGCUUGUUCGCUGCAAUGUACUCCCUCCGUCCGGAAAUACUUGUCAUCAAAAUGAAUAAAAGGAGAUGUAUCUAGAUGUAUUUUAGUUCUAGAUGCAUCCCUUUUUAUCCAUUUUGAUGACAAGUAUUUUCGGACGGAGGGAGUAGCAGUUAAGAACAAGUGGUCCUAAUUCCUGUCUUUACGAUGGUUAAAACAUUUAUUUUGAACUUGGUGUCAUCAACUUGAUGUAAUUGUAACCAGCUGUUGCUACAUGUAUGGGACUCACUUUUAUUGAUGUCAAAUGCUACUGUUGGUGUUGUUUUGUGA